GGUUUGCCUCUACAACUUGGGUAUAAAUAGAGGUGUCUCCCCCAUGUAAAUUUACCUUUGAAUUGAGUAUUGUCAUUCUGUCAAAUUUGUGUCAUACUAUUCAACUUAGGUCACCAAGACUAGAGCACCCCUUCUAGGUUUUCUCUAACCACUCUUUUCUUUUGAAAGCACACAUCAAACACCAAUGUAACAUCUCUCCUUACUUGAGUCAUGUAGCUUAGAAGUGGAGCC
rnacentral:lncRNA from 1 species